CACAGAGUAUGCCAGCUGUUGGGGCAGAGAGCCCCACACCCGAGGGAUCAGAGGACCCGCUUUGGAGAGUCACUCAUAGGUGGCAGCAACAAAGACCUCCCUGUCCAGGAACGAAGAACUGCAGCCCGAGGGCAGGCUGUUAAAAAGCUGAAGAAUGGACAGUGAUGUCUCAGCCUUAAGGAAAUCCAAUAACAGCAGUUAAGCCCCUCUGAGCAGGAGUGAGCUGGAGUUCCACAAGGAGGAUAAAUACACAAAUCAUGGCAACGCAGUGUGAAAAAGGCAGAAACACGAGCACGUCCGAGACAAGAGUGAAGAGGACGUGGGCCUCAGAGCACACCUGGGUGUCACUGGAGCUUCACUGGCUAGGUCACCCCCUGCACGAAGCUCACUCAACUUCCCCCAGGGAGGACGGAGGGCUGACCCUGGGUCCCCAACAUCCCCAACAUGACCCUGGGUCCCCAACAUCCAAGGCGACACCCUGUUUUUGGUCCGAGACCACCCCCCAGGUCCCACGACCAAGAGGCCCCUGUGUGCUGGACCAUGCCUCACUGAUGUUUCUAUUCUUGGCACAGGGCCUGGCAAGUGAACACAUUUAAUACACGUGUUUAUUACAGAUUGUAAAGGUGGAGAGAGGGCAUUUCCACUCCCCAUGCUUCCUCCCCUCCCCCCGUCCCCGCAAUCAUCAAAGCUUAAUAAACAAGGGCUUUUCAGUUACAAGACAAGGAA